CUCAAAGAUUAAGCCAUGCAAGUGGUUUGCAACCCGACGGUUUGAAUAAGUGUUCAUGCUAUUAACAAUUGCUUAAUACACUCUAUUAGCUUUGUUAUUAUUAGCACCUGCGCAUUUGAUUAGUGUUUUACACUAUGAUAUGUGCUUUCACGUUCGUGAAUCACCAAUUUAUUGGUAUCACUUACGCAACUGCAGACAGCUGCUUAAUACAGUCACACUUGUCUUGACUUGGCGCAUAUUACUGUGUUAAUCUUUCAUUUGCUUUAUUUUGAGAAAACACACAUCUUUUCUCUUUUUGAAGCUUUUGUUAGUGUACACACGUAGUAUAAUUGUAACAUUCAGAUUUCGCUUUUCAUUAAGCGUACUGAUAUUACCUGAAAUAUUCAUUUGGAUAACUCAGGGAAAGUUUGGCUAAUACGUACGAGGAGUUAUUUAUUACUUUCACUUUUGUGAACACUUGGACUACUUUUUAUACACAACAUAAGUCCGUGUUUUACAGCUGUGUUAGUAUGUUACUCUCCACUUUCGCGCUUACUGGAGCAGUGUAUCUUGUGUUUUCGGACACUCGUGCAUUGCAUUUGCAACAUGAGAGACAGUAAGAACGCGUUUUGCUUAUCUUUUGAUGAGCAUAGCUGAGCAGACUUGCGAGGAAUCAUACUUGCAAGCAGGUCAUACAAGCAUCUACAGCAUCAAGUCACAGGGUCGGCAAGUGUAUUUUUGAACCUUCAAAGCAGUUACGCAUACGGAAGAGUAGUUUCUGAUCCCAUAGAAGGAGCACCGUACGAUGAGAGACCGCUCUUAGUUCUAAGGAACGCAGCAGGCGCGUAAAUUGCCCAAUGCUAGUCCCCUAAACUAACUUUUGUUUUAUAAACAAUAAGCUUAGUGGUGUACUAUCUUUGUAUACACUAUUACACUAUUUAUCACAACUUUGUUGUGUGUUGCAAUAUAACCACUAUAAUUUUCAUCAUUAUUUUCCUUGUUCACUGACGUGUCAAGUCGAAAUGCUGUUUUUGUUUAAAAAGACAGUUACUUUCACUGAGGCAGUGACAAGCUGUAACGGUUGAGUAUAAAAAUAUACGAGGGCCUGACAUUGCCGCCUUCGGGCGUUGCAGUCGUCGGCUCUUUGUGUGCUCAAUUGGAAUGCGGUGAGUCUAAGCAAUUCAGAACCUUUGGUGUGACUUCGGUCACAUUAAGUAUCUGAACUUCAAGUGGAGGGCAAGUCUGGUGCCAGCAGCCGCGGUAAUACCAGCUCCACUAGCCUAUACAAUCAUUGUUGCGGUUAAGAGGCUCGUAGUUGGAUUGAACACUUUUCUUUUAUUCAUGAUAUAUAAUCUAAGCUUCACUGCUUUUUGAAUAUAUGUGUGGAAUAAGAAAUUUAACCAUAGACAUACUUUGGUUGAUUCUUUGAAGCCAUGUAUCAUUUGCUCUGAAUGUUUAUAUCUCUCAUGUAAUAUAACACUGCGUUUUCAACACUGUGAACAAAUCAGAGUGUAUCAAACAUGUCGUAUUUGAUUGUGCAUUGAAUGUUUCAUCAUGGAAUGUUGCACCUUCAAAUGAUCCGAAAGGAGACCGAUUUUGUAUGCUUACACCUUCUGAUAAUUAGUGUAUUAUUACUCUCAACUGAUGAGGUAUUCACUUUUUUCAUUGCAAUAAUCAUAGUUUCUCUCUUUCGAUCAUUUUUGUGUCGAUGGGGAUAGUUGGAGUCAAGAGUACUGCUGGGCGAGCGGUGAAAUGCUUUGACCCUAGCAGGACUACCAAAAGCGAAAGCACUUGGCUAGGCUAUCCUCUUUGUGAUUGAUUCUAGUUAUGCCAAGUUUGCUUAUACACAUUUGCUUACUUACUGGUAUUAACAACAUGAAGCAUCACUUUACAAUGAAGAACGAAGGUUGGGGGUUCAAAGAGGAUCAGAUACCCUCGUCGUCCCAUUAAUUACAUCAAACGAUGGGCUCUCAAUUGCAUUUAAACUUUUGCCCUCAGCCUGCAAAUUUGGGCUUGUAGCUUGCUCUUCGGAGUAUGCUCGCCUGUUUGUAGUGUUUCGAGGACAUAUUUGCAGCGUGCUACUUUACUCGUUAAAGUUUGCACUUGAUUUUCGGAGCUUUGCGCUCAUUUGGUGAGAUGUAAGCACCAGGUCUACUGGCACUGCUUGUACCCUUUGUUGGUGCUUGCGGUGUACAGUUGGACACUUUUUGGUGUGAGGCACGCUUUAGGCACGCGCUUACUGCAGAAAUGUCUGAGACAUUCCCCUCCGGGGGUAGUAUGCACGCAAGUGUGAAACUUGAAGGAAUUGACGGAAGGGCACCACAAGAACGUGUGGAGCAUGUGGCUUAAUUUGACUCAACGCGGGAAAUCUUACCGGGUCCGGACACACUGAGGAUUGACAGGCGUUUGUGGUUUAGUAUCUAGCUUCGGUUGGCUCUGCUUUUCCACUAUAAAUAUGCUAGUCCUUUCAUGAUUGUGUGAUAGGUGGUGCAUGGYCGUUCUUAGUUCGUGGAGUGAUCUGUCUGCUUAAUUGCGUUUCACAAAGAACUCUUUAACUUUUACCUGUUGCGCGUCAUUGCGCUCUCUGAGACGAUGUCUGUGCACGGUAAAGAAAAAGUUCUGAAGGCAACGAACGUGACCGCAACCUCUUGUUGCCUCCUUUUUUCAAACAUGAGAGUACUGUCUUGUCUCGUACAAGCUGUGCUUCUCUGCAUGGAGUGCUAACUAGAGGGACCGCUGACAACUUUUAAAACAGAGGAAGGUUGCGGCAAUAACAGGUCUGUGAUGCCCUUAGAUGUUCCGGGCUGCACACGUGCUACAAUGAUUAUUGCAGUGAGCAUCUAACUAAAAAAAGCUCGAGUUUGUGUUUAGUUGCCUCGUGUAACUUUACAUAGCUCGGCUACUGACCUGCUUCGAAAGUAAGCAGGUAAUCAAUUCGAAGUAAUGAUUUCCUUUCGCACAUACUUAUAUCUCUUGCUUGCAGGCUAGCCCGCGCUUGUCGUGUGGUUUUGUCCUGCCUUGAGAUAUGUGCUCCAUUAAUUCAUGGUGGGGACAGACCAUUGUUAAUUGUUGGUCUCGGUCUCAACUAGGAAUGCCUUGUACGGGUCUUUGGUUCAACAAACCACCCGGAAUAUGUCCCUGCCCUUUGUACACACCGCCCGUCGCUCUUACCGAUGGACUUCUCUAUGAGUUUGGGGGACUGGCUUUCUAUUUAUAGACAGCUAUGGAAACCUAAACGAAUAGUGUGGUCUAAAGGAAAGAGAAGUCGAACAAGGCA
rnacentral:rRNA from 1 species